rnacentral:tRNA from 1 species
UGAUAAUUAGUUUAAAUCAAAACAAGUGAUUUCGAC